rnacentral:rRNA from 1 species
AUAUGUGUGGGCCAUCGGGGCAAAAGUGAAAGUGCACUAAUUUUAACGUUAUUUUACUAAUUUCGUGAA